AUUUUAUAUUCUACUUAGGUUUUUAAGUGUGCUGGUGCUUCUCACAAGUUAAAAAAAGCAUUUUACACCGUCUUCAUCAGAUCUGGUUCUCUUUUUGAUGUAUGUUUUCGUAUUAGAGUGAACUGAAUUUAGGGUUUCUUUUGGUUCUUCAUUUAAUCUUGCCGCUUGGUCGAUUUUUUUUGUACAGUUUGCACAUCAAGAGCAGCUUUCAUCUACCAGAAGCAUAAUUGCAUUGAUGUGUUGUGGAAAACUUUCUUACUCCUGAGUUGAUAUGGGUUUUGAUAUUGAAUGCAUAAUUGACAUCCAUACCUAUCCUGGAGAGUAUUUCUGUCCUGUUUGUCGCACACUCAUAUUUCCUAAUGAAGCCGUCCAAUCACAGUGCACCCAUCUCUACUGCAAACCUUGUCUGGCACAUGUUGCCAAUGGGAGCCGAGCCUGUCCUUAUGAUGGAUACUUGGUGACUGAAGCAGACUCUAAAGCCCUUAUCGAGUCGGACAAGAAACUUGCUGAAAGCAUAGGCAGAGUUAAAGUGCGUUGUCUCUAUCACAGAAGUGGAUGCACAUGGGAAGGUUCCUUCUCUGAUUGCACUUCCCAUUGUUCUGGCUGUUCCUUUGGCGACUCCCCAGUUGUAUGCAAUAGAUGUGGAGUCCAGAUUGUGCAUCGACAAGUGCAUGAGCAUGCCCUGAGUUGCCCUGGUGUAUAUCCUGCACAACAGGCAACUCAUGGUGCCGAGGAUAAUCCUAGCUCUGGUGCAGCCACCACUGCUGCUGGUACCGACUUGAAUAAAACUAAGGCUCAUUCAGGAACUCCGGCAUCACAGACACCAAACCCUCAAACCACAACUGCUUCUCUGCUUCCUGGACAAGAUCCCAAUCAGCAAACAAGUGCCAGCUCUCAGGCUCUUGCUACUGCUUCAGCUGGUGUGCCUACUUCAGAGCAGUGGUAUCAGCAACAGUAUCAGCAGUAUUAUCAGCAAUAUGCUGGAUAUGAGCCUUAUCAACAACAAACUUAUCAACAAUACUAUCCUUAUCAGCAACAGUCCCUCCAACAAUAUCAGCAACAACCUCACAUUUACAUGCAGCCACCAGCACAACCCCAGACCCCGGCCCCAGCCCAGCCGCAGCCCCAGCCGCAGCCACUUAAUCCUCAAUCUCAUACUCAAAUGCAAGCUCUACCUAAAGGGCCAACUCAACCACAGGUUCAACCUCUGGCACAACAGCAUCAAAAUCAGGUUCAAGUCAACCCAGUACAGCAGCUCCCACCUACUAUGCAACCUCAUGCCCAAAUUCCAUCACAAAUAUAUCCAGCUUCUCGUGCUCAUCCACCUACUCAGCCUCCGCCAUAUUCACAGACCUAUUCAAUGCAGCCUCAUUCACAACAAUAUGUGCAAGUGCCACAGUAUCAGCAGCCUCCUGCCCAGGUUCAUCCCCCUCCAUCCUCUCAAGCCCAACCACAUCCUCCUGUGCAAGCACAACCUCAUUCACAACUCCAGCCGCAAAUAAAUGUGCAACAUCAUCCACAAUCUCAUGGCCAAUUGCGCCCUCCUCAGGUCGGCCAGCCUGCUCAUGCACAGGGUCAGACCCUCCCUUCAACAGCCAAUGCAGUUUCAGGUUUCCAUUCCUAUCCACAAACCCAGCUUACGCAGCAAGUGGCUAUAGGGAUGUCACAGCAACCUCCAAUGUACCCGCAUCCUACUAGUGGGUCUAUGAGUCUGGUUCAAACUCAUGGUCAGGUUCCUCAACCUCCCUUAAUGCGCCCACCUCUGGGUCUAAUCGGCAAUCAGCAACCGGGGCUGGUACCUUCUCAAGGUCAAGUUCCUGCACAAUCUCAACUUUAUCCUAUUGCUCAGCAAGCAGGACACUCAAUUCAGCAACAUCCUGGUCAGUCUAAUCAACAGCCAAUGUCUCAACAGUACAGUCAUCAUCAUACAUUUCCUGGUCCAUUUCCAAGCCAAUCUCACCAGCAAGGUCAUUUUACUCACCAGCAGCCGUUGCAGUCCCAAUUUCGCCCACAAGGUCUUCCUAAUGUGGUGCCUCAAAGUUUGCAUGGGUAUAUUCAACCGCAGCAAAAUGCCACCUUACCACCUCCUCCACAGCCUCAACAAUCUCAAGCAUAUAUAGGAAGGCCUGGGAUGCAAAAUCAUGUCCAGUCGAUUUCACAGGCUCAUGGUGGAUAUAAUACUACAGCCCAGGUUAGACCUGUCCAGCCUGCUUUAAGCCAGCCGCAAAUAAAUCCAAGUUAUGGGAACUACACGGGCAAUGAGCAUGAGUUGGUGGAUCAGAAGAAACGGUUAGCCCUAGAAAGUAAAGGUGAUCUGUUACCUGACAAAACUGCUGGAAGGAAAGAAGCGGGAGUUCCUUCCCAGGACAAUGCUCAAAAGGAUCUAAAUUCUCUUCCAGCCAAAUCAAUUGAUGAUGAGUACAGACAGAGGGCCAGCAGUGAUAUAGAUGUCCGUAGGGGUGAUUCAGAUGAGCUUAUGGACAAAAGAACUGUCAAGAAAGAGGAAGAUGACACUUUUUUGAAGCCUAAAUCUGCUGCCAAAUCAGCUGAUGCAACAGUUAAACCAGACAAAGAUGCCUGUGAUGAUGUUCCAAAAGAACUGGACCAGACUCUGGAAAAGCAUGGAUCUUCUGAUGCUACCGAUGGUUCGAUUAAGAAUCUGAACUCUGGAAGAGAUUCACAUGACGCUACCACUGACGGAGGGGUUUUUCAGCAGUAUGGGCAUGGGAUGCCACAACCGAAAUAUGGACCGUCUACUCAGCAAAGGCCCGUUGGUCCUAUGAUAAUAUCACCAGUGCGACCUGCAGGCAGUACUUCUCAUGGCCAACUCCCUGGAUAUCCCCCCACUGCAAUGAUGCCUUCAGGGAAUGUACCUCAGGCUGGUCAGCCAUUGAAUUCUCUUGAUCAUCGUCCACAAUUCUUGAAGCAGCCUAGUAGUGCCCCCCUUGGUGGUAUCCCUGGUCCAGGGUCUAUUACAACCUUUGCUAGGGGGCAUGGUCAUUUUCCUCCACCAGGUGAGUUCCCAGAGGGGAUUACGGGAGUAGGAAGAGCACUGUUAAGUGGUGCUGAAAUUCCUAGUGGAACACAACACUCUGUUAAUCCAGCAGAGGCUGAAAUGUUUCAAAACCAAAGGGUGAAUUGUUUUGAAGGAAAUCAAUCAAACCCAUUUUCCUCAGGGUCUUUUGAGAAGGUUCCAUUUGGCCAACCUAGAAGUAUGGAAUCUGCUAGGGAUAAAAGGUUGAAGGCGCCUAUGGGGGAGCAUUUAAUUCCUUUACCGGUGCCUUCUGAUCAAGGAUCACGGCCACAUGACAAACCUCCUCACGGAUUAGGAUAUGAUUCUGGAUCAAAAUUUGAGGCCAGUACCGGGGUUCCACCGAACAGAUUAUUGCCUCCACAUCAUCCUCCUGGUUCGAUGCAUUUCAAGGAUAGUGGAGAAAGAGAAGCACCACUUGGUCCUCAUGACGAUGAUAGAAAAAGAGGAGGAUCUGGAUUCGGUGUGCAUCAUUUGGAUUAUUUGUCUGCCAGAAACCCUGAUGGGGAGUUAUUUAACAUUCCACAACGUGGAUUUGUAAGUCACUCAGGUUUUGAUGAUACUGGUGGCAGAGAGCCCCGUCAAUUUAUUGAAGGGCCAGGACAUUUCAAUUUACCUUCCAAUCUAGCUGGCGGCUUAUACUCUAAUAGUAGGUUCCAAGCUUUGCCUGGCCAUCCACAUGGAGUAGAGACUGAUGGUCUUGGGGAUUUGAGAGGUGGUGAGCAUACUACCUUUGGUCGUCCUUACAAACAUGUCCAGAGUGGUGAUCUGUUUGGAAAAGACAUGCCGAGUCAUUUGCAUCAUGAUGAGUCUUUGGAUCCUCCGAAAUUACCAAGUCAUUUACGUUUUGAUAAACCUGGUGGCUUUGGUUCCUUCGCUGGCCGUGCUUAUAUGGGGGAGUUGUCUGGGUUUGGAGAUAUUCCUGGUUUUGAUGAAUCAGUUGGACGCAACAAACCUGGUAUGCCACAGUUUGGGGAGCCUGGCUUCAGGAGCAGGUAUCCUGUUCCGGGGUAUCCGAAUCACGGACUUUAUGCAGGUGAUGUGGACUCCUUUGAUAGACCAAGAAAGAGGAAGCCCACGAGUAUGGGAUGGUGCCGCAUUUGCAAGGUUGAUUGUGAAACCGUUGAGGGCCUAGAUAUGCAUUCACAGACAAGAGAGCACCAGGAUAUGGCUAUGGAUAUGGUCAGGUCUAUCAAGGAGCAAAACCGAAUGAAACAGAAGACUUUUAGUGAUCGUCCUUCAGUUGAAGAGAAAGGGAGGACUAGAAAGGCAGUGUUCGAGAGCCGUGGUAGAAAGACUUGAGCUUGGGAUAGUAGAUAGGAAGUGAAAGGCUGUGUUUGAUGGUUGUAACUAAGCCUUCAGUCAAGCAUUUGCACCGCAAUGUAGGUGAUUAGCUUUACAAUCUUUCUUCUUCUUCUGGGGGUUUUAUCCUAGCUUUGUCAUUUCAGGUUGCCGCCCUGUUGUUGGAAGAUGGUUUGGAUUGGAAGUUUCUGUGGCAGAACUCCAUUUCCACAUGGGAAAAUUAGUCUAGCUAAGUGCAGUACCACUAUAUUCUGCUGGAUAAUGUUGACAGGAAGAACCUAAUGUAAGAUCUUCUCAAUUGCACGACGAAGCAUCUAGACCCUGAGGAUCACCUUUGUCAUUAGUUAGGAGUGGUUACACAUUUCAACUUCCAUUGCAGGCUGUUUAUGGAAGUACAACCAUCAGGAAGAAUGUCGUAGUAUUUGUUUGUAAAAUAUAAGGGUGAUCUUCAAUGUAGCAGUGUCUUUUAUUGUUUCUACCUUUGUUCUAUGAUAAACAAACUCUUUGAUCUUUCCCUUCAUUUUGAUAUUAGAGCUGGAAGAGUAAAUACUGCUCUAAGUUAAUUUUACCCUGUAAAGGCUGUUGGGGAUGUAUUAGUUACAGCAAAUGUGAAGAUAUGUACAUUUUUCAAGUUUAAAGCAAAUGAUUUGUAAAUA